UACAGAGGUCUCAAGCGUUGUUCGGAUUCAUUGGGCGUAAAGGGUGCGUAGGUGGCGGGGCAAGUCUGGUGUGAAAUCCCGGGGCUCAACCCUGGAACUGCACUGGAUACUGCUUUGCUAGAGUACUGGAGAGGGAACUGGAAUUUACGGUGUAGCAGUGAAAUGCGUAGAUAUCGUAAGGAAGACCAGUGGCGAAGGCGAGUUCCUGGACAGUUACUGACACUGAGGCACGAAAGCGUGGGGAGCAAACAGG
rnacentral:rRNA from 1 species